ACCAAUUUCGCUGACAAAGCCAAAUCAGCCAUGUCCGGCGAUGGCCAGAGCGGCUCCGCAAGGGUGCACUUCGUGCUGGUCCCGAUGAUGGCGCAGGGUCACACCAUUCCCAUGACCGACAUGGCACGCCUGCUGGCCGAGCACGGCGCGCAGGUCACCUUCAUCACCACGCCAGUGAACGCGUCCAGGUUGGCAAGCUUUGCCGCCCACGUGGAGGAGGCAGGCCUGGCGGUCCGGCUCGUGGAGCUCCAUUUCCCGGCAGCCGAGUUUGGCCUACCGGACGGGUGUGAGAACGUCGACAUGAUCCAAUCCAAGGAUCUGCUGUCGAACUUCUUGGAGGCAUGCACCACGCUUCGGGAGCCGCUCAAGGCACACCUCCAUGAGCAGCAACAGUCGCCUCCGAGCUGCAUCAUAUCUGACACGAUGCAUUGGUGGACCGGUGACGUCGCAAGAGAGCUUGGUAUCCCGAGGCUCGCCUUUAGUGGCUUCUGUGGCUUCUCGUCCCUUGUCAGUUACAUCAUUUUCCGCGACAACUUAUUGAAACACGUCACAGAUGAGAAUGAGCUCAUUACGAUCCCAGGGUUCCCUACACCACUGGAGUUGGCAAAGGCUAAAUGCCCUGGACGCAUUCCCAUUCCAGGCAUGGAGCAAAUUCGUGAGAAGAUCUAUCAAGAGGAGCUGAGAUGCGAUGGCGUGGUCCUCAACAGCUUCAAAGAGCUGGAGACAUUGCAUAUCGAAUCCUUUGAGCAGGUGACAAGGAAGAAAGUAUGGACGGUCGGGCCAAUGUGCCUCUGCCACCAAAACAGCAACACAAUCGCCGCAAGAGGAAACAAGGCGCCGAUAGAUGAGGCAGAGUGCUUGCAGUGGCUUGAUUCAAUGAAGCCAGGCUCGGUGAUCUUUGUCAGCUUUGGCAGCCUCACCUGCACUGCACCUCAGCAACUUAUUGAGCUCGGCCUGGGACUUGAAGCCACCAAGAAACCAUUCAUUUGGGUGAUCAAAGCGGGAGAUAAGUUUCCAGAAGUUGAGGAAUGGCUCUCAGAUGGCUUCGAGGAACGCGUCAAAGAGAGAGGCAUGAUCAUAAGAGGCUGGGCACCACAGGUGAUGAUCCUGUGGCACCAAGCCAUUGGAGGAUUCAUGACACACUGUGGGUGGAACUCAACAAUAGAGAGCAUCUGUGCAGGCGUGCCCAUGAUCACAUGGCCACACUUCGCGGAGCAGUUUUCAAACGAGAAGUUGGUGGUGGAUGUGCUGAACAUUGGGGUGGAGGUUGGAGUGGAAGGAGUUACACGGUGGGGACAUGAACACAAAGAGGCUAUGCUUACAAGAAAUGAUGUGGAGAGAGCAGUGUACGCCCUGAUGGAUGAGGGGAAAGCUCAAGAGCAGUUCCGGGUGAGAGCAAAAGACUGUGCCAUCAAGGCAAGGAGGGCUUUCGAUGAGGAAGGUUCUUCAUAUAACAACAUUAAGCUACUGAUUCAAGAAUUGGGAAACAAGACGAAGGCAUGUGGUUGA
rnacentral:rRNA from 1 species